rnacentral:sRNA from 12 species
UCUGUGGAGUGCUAAACCAAACGAAAGUAGCCAAGGCUAAAUCGGGCACGGUGAAGCAAGAA